UACGAAGGUGGCAAGCGUUACUCGGAAUUACUAGGCGUAAAGGGCAGGUAGGCGGUUUGAUGAGUCUGUUGUGAAAGCUCCCGGCUUAACUGGGAGAGGUCAACAGAUACUGUCGAACUUGAGUAUGGGAGAGGGUACUGGAAUUCCUGGUGUAGCGGUGAAAUGCGCAGAGAUCAGGAGGAACACCGAUGGCGAAAGCAGGUACCUGGACCAUUACUGACGCUCAGCUGCGAAAGCUAGGGGAG
rnacentral:rRNA from 1 species